rnacentral:rRNA from 1 species
AUGCCGUUGAAUGAGAGAAUUGACCAUGCUACUAAUGGCUAUUUGGCCAGUUACUCUCAACCGUCAUAUGCUACACAUCAUGUUAGUAAUUCUUCGGCACCAUACACAACUGUAGAUGCUCAUAAUUCGGCUUCACACCUUCCUGGUUAUAGCCGAAUGAAUGUAAAUUUUACAGGAGCGGUUGUGCCCAACAUUGUAGAAGAUGAGGUAGUGGUGGCUGCAUUGAAGAGUUUAGCCCAAAAUAAAAGAGUUAGUGCUCUUUGCCUUGAACAACAUGAAAAUGGGCUAUUUCCUGAUUAUGCCGCAAUAAAAGCUAGAGUUUUGCAAGAAGAUGAAUCUUUGCCAAUUGAUAAAAUUGGCGAGCAAAAGUAUGGUCUUACAACACUGCAUAUGCCUUCAUCUAGUACUACAUCAUAUUAUACACCCCCUAUACAAUUACAAAAUUUCGGCAACACCCGUGUGUCAUUGCCGAAAGAAUCUAAAAGCAUUGGGGGGCAAUCAUAUCGGGAGUGGGUUGAAAUUAAGAAAAAGCUUAAAGCUAAUUUUGCCGCUCGCCGUCAGAAACAAAUAGAAAAAGAAUUGGCUCAGAUAAAAGAAGCAUUGCCAAUUGAUACUAUCAAUGAAAAGAAGGAUGAUUCGGAACAUGAAAGUGCUUCGGUUGAAAAAGCCGAAUCAAGUAGUAUAUAUUCUGAAUCCAUCAAAUCCAACGAGGCAAGCAUUAUUGAGAAAGGGCAUGGCAAACAUAGGAAAACAACGGUGCUUGAUUUUUCUGGAGUUAAUGGAACCUACUUCCUGCCCUAUGAGUUCCGUGCCGUAGAAAUUGACAAGCUUCAAGGACAAGAACAAGUAGCCGAACAAAGUUCGGCCGACAAAAAUCUUCAAAGCAAUGAUGCAUGGAUUCAAGAAAAAGAUGAUGACAAGGUGUUGGGGAGCCAUCCAAAGAGGGAGCAAGAUGUUCUUCAAAUGGCACCACUAUCAUGCUCUCCCAACAUAUUUGAAGAGCUCCAAGGAGAUCAACAUUUGAACAAUCACGCGUCAAAGACCGUUUCAAUCAUAAGGAAUCGGUCCAGAGCUCAAGGAAGAAGAAAGAGGUGGUAA